CAGCCCUCAGAGAGUAAGGUGUUGAGACCAUCUGGACGGUGUACGUGGCUGAACCCCAUUAAGGCCUCUAUUUAAACAUUUAAGAUUCUGAUGGGCGGGUGCAGAGAACUUGCGGCGCUGGAGACAAGCCUCCUAAGUUUAGGCAGCAUGGAACAGUAUUACCAAGAUGGGAUUUGGAGUGGCAGAGUUCUGGGUUCAAAUUCCAGCAGCACUGCUUCCUGGCUGUGUGACCCUGGGGCAGACCAUCUGGUCAUCUACUUUCUGCCACCCUUUUCCAGCUAUGAUGCCUCAACACUUUGACCGGUGGUCACAUCCUCUCUGAAGACUUCUCCAAGGCACCAUCAUUUGCCGAAGGUCCACACCUAGGAGGUGAGAGCCAUGAGGCUUUCCGCUAAGUGAGGGGACUCUCUCGGGCAGCCCGGAGACAGGAGGCUGGCCCCUGUCGUGGAGACCCGGAGAGCGUGAGUUCCACUUCCCUCUGCGUCGUGAACGGUGAGCCUGCCCUUGGAAUGGAUGUCACCUCCUCUGGAAAGCUCUACGCUGAAUCUCUCUCGCUGUGAGGCUCGUAUAACACUUGUAAGCUGCGCUGUGGUUCAGUUUUUCCCGGGAUACAGUAAGCUCUUUAGGGAGAACACUGUGCCUUAUUGAAUUCUGUGCUCCUCACGGAGCUAGACCGGCCUUCAAGAUGAAGACCAGCGCCCCAUCUGGGGCUAGACCAGCCUUCAAGAUGAAGCUUCCUGGAUCCCAGGCCACCCGGGGGCUGCCAGGAGCCACCGCCCAAGACACGCCGGGUCAGCCAGAGCCGUGCCCCAGGGAGGUAGUCCUUUUUCACAGAGACAAGGAGGAGCGGCAAAGUUCCCUGCAGUUCUGCCCCAUCCCACUGAUCACAAAAAAGCAAAGAAAACCUUCAUCCAGGAGUGCCGCGGACACAGCGGACUGGCCAGCGAACGACAGAAGGUCAAGGCCUGGGCUGGGGGAGGGGUACACAAUGGUGGUGGGCCAAGCCCCAUGCAGGUUAGUUGGGAGGCUGGGGGCCUCUGCUGUGGUCUCGGGAGCAUCCUGAAGUCCCAGUGAUCCAGAGGUCCCUGAAGGAGACGGCAGCAGAGCAGUGACCCCCGCCAAGAGCCCGGUCAUAUUCACGACCACGUGGAGGAGGAAAGCACACAUCCCCCCACUGCCCAGGGGACGCAGGGCAGAGGAAGUGCUGCCAGGCCUGUCACUCCCCUGUACCCACACAGUCAGCUUGCCUCGAGAUUCACAAACUUGAAAAGAGCAAAAGCAAGAGGUCUGGGCACUGAAAAAUCCGGGCCUUGCUAUACAGGUGCACUUCUGUAUGGGGCCGUGCCUGAGGCUGGAAAAGAAGCCUGGGCCUUUCAGGGCGGUGUUGCCCACAGCAACUGGAGACCCCUCCGAAGGUACAGAGCCCACCGUGGACCACAGGAUCAGCAGUCUUCUCCUUGGAGUUGGGCAGGGUGCCACCGCUUAGCCCCUGGGCCCAGUCGCUGCCAUUCACAGAAAAGGGGGCUUGGCUGCAGCAGCCUCUGGCAGGUUCUCCAUGCCAUUGGGUUAAAAGGAGCUUAAAUAUUCCAGUGCCACCUCGUAUACAAAUUUAUACUGUUCCUGAGAGGAUGAGACGCAGAGAGGGAGAAGACAAGACGAGAGAGAGAGAUGAAAAGGAAAGGGAAAAUGCAUUUAGUUUAGAGAGACAAAUUUUGGAGGAAACAUUAUCUAUGUCUAUACUAACAGUCAAUUCAAAAUUGUCCACGCAGAUUCAGAUUCAGUAGAUCUGGAGUGGUGCUCAAGAGUCUACAUUUCUACCAGGCUCCCGUGUGACACUACUGCUGCUGCUGGUCUGUGGACCAGACUUAGGCCCUCACUUUGGGUAAGACCACACUUAGCACAGACUUAAAGACUCAUUAAAGUUCCCUGUGUACGGUAUGUCUCCAUCUCUGCACCAGGUCUUUCUUAACGUCUGGAGCUCUGCCCCCUGUCUCUUCCUCUCCCUUGCUUCACAGUGUCCUAGCCCAAUGCUUUAUAUGAUAAAAAUGAGCAUAAAUUAAUUAGAAUAGGAUUGGACUGAGUCAAAAACAUAAUUCACAUUCUACUAAUCCAGAAUCCCUUCCCCUAAGCCAGAAUUAGUGAUACUUUCCCACGGCAUGGAAAGAAAGUAAAACAACGUAGCGUGUGCCAAGACGAAUUAUCUGGACUCUCUGCAGAAGAGAAGUUGGUGAGGCUGGAGGGAGGAAGCAGGUAACUGUGUGUGCAAAGGGCAGCGACUGCAGGUGCUCAAGAAGCAUCCGGCUGUUGAGUGAUUUUACUCUUUGAGGCUAUUUUCUUCAGGUCAAGGGAACUACGGUCAGCCCCUGGCUACUGGAGAACAGUUCUCGGGACACUCACCAGGGUCUCCACCAUGUUGGACUUGUUGUUACGUAACGUUUUCACGAUGUGGAACACGUCGAUGAUGUUUUGCUGCUGGAUCAUCUCACACACGCUGCAGACGGCACAGAAGGUUCCACUGCGCCCUCCCCCAUUUCUACACAAACACAGAGCAAAAAGGACACCCAACGACCAGAUGUUUCAAGUACAGACAGCUGCCCUCCAUUCACUGGCCAGUGCCUGCAUUUCAGUGUCUGUUUUGGUGUCUCCGCCCUCCAAGGAUGCCAAGGUCUCUGUUGACAGAAGGACACCCCUGUGCUUUCCUACAGCUCAAACUGCUGGUCACCUCGGCAAGGGGAGACACGAAUAAAAGAUGCGGAAUAUUCUGUGGAUGAUGUCCUCAUCGAUGUCUGCGGAGACGAAUUCCACCUGGAUGGGCCCGUAGCACCCCGAGGUCUUCUCAGGCCAGUACUGCAUACAGAGCUGAGAGAAGGUUGGCCAACUCUUGUCCUAUAGGGCUGUUCUAAGGAUAAAGAGAGAACACAUGGGAAGAAAGCCCUUAGCAGAGUGCCAGCAUCCACGACAUUCCAGCGAUUCAUAUCAUUCUUGAACCUCUCAGUGCUCAACAAAAAUAACAACAAUAAUGAUAAUAGCUAACAUAUAAAUUUGAAGAAUUCUUCCUCUUAUCACCCCUCUUAAAUAGCAAAGGUCACUCUCCAUCAUGAUGUCCAGAGGGCUGGGAAAGGUUGCAGGGUCCUUCUAAUCCUACAUCAGAGCCAGCCUUUCACUUGAGUUCCCUAAUCUGUGAGACCACAUCAGCAAUGGCAUGGGUGACAUUCAGCCAGGUGAUGUGUGGGCAGAUGUGGUGUUUGAGCUGCCAAGGAUCAUCAGGGUCUGCCCCCAGGCCAGGACGCUGCACAUAAUCUAGCCAUGGGAAAUGGGAGAGAGAAUGGGGGAAGCCAAUGCUCUGUUCCUGGUGACCCUUUGGGGCUCGGAAAUGAUUCUCGUCAAUAAGAAAUGUCCUCUAAGGUUUAGCUCAAGACUGUCCUGGUGUCCAAGUGCUGGGGUUGUGCCUCAGUGGGUACCACCACUUUGGCCCAUGUAUGCAGCUUAGCAAAAGGUAAUGGGGCUCCUGCUUGAAGUGCUCUGGGCUCAAAUCCCAGCCCUGUCACCCCCUAGCUGAGUGACUUGGCCAAAUCUGUUAGCUUCUCUGGGUUAAGUGAUGAGUGGCUGUGAAUCUGAAUGUGUCUACUUAGCACAGGAGUCUGUAGCUAGUAAGUAAGUACUCCAUAAAUGUAAGCUAUAAUUAUUUGGCAGUGUGGGAGAGGGUCACUCAAAACAAGGUAGAUAAAGUGAAGGGUCUUUUUCCCUCUACUUAGCAGCCCGUAUGAAAAUUUCUCUUUAGGAUAAUAAUACCCAAAGGACUGCCCUUGUGAAAAUUCCUGGUCAGCCAGCCUGAUAGAGCAGUGGGGACAGGUGCCACCUGUGAUGUGGGGACACUGUUCUGCAGGUCGGAGGAGAGAGGCCUAUGGGUUGUUCUUGAGAGGGACCCAGGAGAGGGACCCGGGAGAUGGACCUAGGAGAUGGACCCAGGAGAGGGACCCAGGAGAUGGACCCAGGAGAUGGACCCAGGAGAUGGAAGAGGAAAAGUAGGAGCAUAAGAGAACCAGUGAAAGGGCUGAAGGUGAAUCAGUGUGUCCUGUGAGCCCCCCUCUCCUAAACUCCUAAAUAUUAAGCAAAUUUAUAAUAACAAACACAGACAAUGCUCACUGUGCAUGGGGGUUUCUUGUGGAAGCCGGCGAGGAACUGAGCUUUGCUCCCUUGGUGACUUACGUGGUCUCAGCUCCACUUCUAUGUGAACUGAAGGGCCAGACCAUGAGCACGUAAGCAUCGACAGUUUAUAGGAGAGCCGCCAAGAUGGUGGAGUAGAAAGACCCUGAGCUCACCUCCUCUCAUGAGCACACCAAAAUCACAACUAUCAUCUGCAGAACAACCACUGGUGAAAAAGACUGGAACCUACCACCAGAAGAUCUUCUGCAACUAAAGACAUAAAGAAGGAACCACAAAGAGACAGGUAGGAGGGGCAAACUCACAACAUAGUCAAAUCCCAUACCCCUGGGUGGGCGACCCACAAACUAGAGAAUUACAUUACAGAGGUUCUCUCACAGGAGUGAGAGUUCUGAGCCCCACGUUGGGCUCCCCAGCCUGGGGGUCUGGUACUGGGAAGAUGAUCCCCCAGAGCAUUUGGCUUUGAAGGCCAGUGGGGCUUGAUUUCAGGAGCCCCACAGGACUGGGGGAAAUAGAGACUUCACUCUUAAAGGGUGCACACAAAAUCUCACACUCACUGGGACCCAGGGCAAAAGCAGUAAUUUGAUAGGAGCCUGGGCCAGAGCUACCUGCUGGUCUUGGAGAGCCUCCCGGAGAGGUGGGCAUGGCUGUGGCUCACCCUGGGGACAUAGACACUGGUGGCAGUCAUAUUGGGGAACAUUCUACUGUGUGAACACUGCUGCCGGUGGCUGCCAUCCUGGCUCAUCAGCCCCACCCACAAGCCUAUAGGUGCGAGUGCUGGGGUGCCUCAGGCUAAGUAACUAACUGGGCAAGGACACAGCCCCACCCAGCAGCAGAAGACUUCCUGAACCCUCUAGAAAAGCCCCUAGACAUGGCCCUGCCCACCAGAGGACCAAGACCCAACUCCACCUCCCCGUGGGCAGGCAUAGGCCCUUCCCUUCAGGAAGCCCACAUUAGCCUCUAGACCAGCCUCACCCACCAGGGGGCAAACACCAGAUGCAAGAAAACUAUGAUCCCACAGCCUGCAGACCCAGCCCACCCACAAUAGGCAAGAACCUACCCUGGGACCAGCUGGGCCCUGUCCACUAGCAGGCCAACGCAAGCUUUGAGAUACCCUAGACCCCAUACCCAACUGUGUCAGGAAUUGCCCCCCUCCAACCUGAAAUGAGCUCAGGGAUCCCUGGGCCCUGCAGCCAGACUCCAGGAACUGGCUCUGCUUGCCUGGCACCAACCCCUGAACCUGGCUUUACCUGCCAGGGGAUCGGCAACAGCCCAGGAGUCUUCGGGACCCUGACUCCGGCCACCAGUGAGCCAGCACUAGCCCUGGGACACCCCUAGGGUUCUGCAGCCAGUGCCCUGUGACCAGGCCACACUAACUAGCAGCCAGCAGCAUCUGUACAAGGCAGAGCUUGGCAACCAACUGGGCCAGGGGCCGACCAAGCCUACCAGACUGCCCACAUAGGCCACCACAACAGAAGGACCCAUGCAGCCCUCUUAGGGGGCACCCCAAGAGCAUAUACCUUGGGUGAUGAGAGGGGAGUGCACUGCUGGGAUGCAAAGGACGACAUCUACAGAAGGCCACUUACGCAAGGUUGAGAAACGUAACUAACCUACCACAUAUAUAAAAAUACAAAUAGCAACUUAGACAAAAUGGGGUGGCAGAGGAACAUGUUCCAGACGAAGAAACAAGAUAAAACCCCAUAAGAAGAAUUAAGUGAAGUGGAGAUAGGCAAUAUACCCGAGAAACAGUUCAGAGUAAUGAUCAUAAAGAUGAUCAAAGAACGCCUCAGAAGAAGAAUGGAUGUACAGAGGGAGAAGUUAGAAGUUUUAAACAAAGAGAAGAGAUAAAGAACAACUGAACAGAGAUGAAGAAUACAAAAAAUGAAAUGAAAAAUACACUAGAAGGAAUCAAUAGUAGACUAAAUGAUAUGGAGGAACGGAUCAGUGAGCUGGAAGACAGAGUAAUGGAAAUCACUGCCACUGAACAGAAGAAAUAAUGAAAAGAAAUGAGGACAGUUUAAGAGACCUCUGGGACAAUAUGUAGAGCACUAAUAUUCACAUUAUAGGGGUCUCAGAAGGAGAAGAGAAAGGACCUGAGAAAAUAUUUGAAGACAUAAUAGCUAAAAACUUCCCUAACCACGGAAAGGAAACAAUCACCCAAGUCCAGGAAGUGCAGAAAGUCCCAUACAGGAUUAACCCAAAGAGGAACACACCAAGACACAUUGUAAUUAAAGUGACAAAAAGAUAGAGAAUAUUAAAAGCAGCAAGGGAAAAGCAAGAAAUAACAUACAAGGGCACUCCCAUAAGGCUAUCAGCUGAUUUUUCAGCAGAAACUCUGCAGGCCAGAAGGCAUGAUAUAUUUAAAGUGAUGAAAGGGGCAUGAUAUAUUUAAAGUGAUGAAAGGGGAAAAUCUACAACCAAGAAUACUUUACCCAGCAAGGCUCCCAUUCAGAUUUGAUAGAGAAAUCCAAAGCUUUACAGAUAAGCAAAAGCUAAAAGAGUUCAGCACCAUCAAACCAGCUUUGCAACAAAUGUUAAAUGAUCUCUAGGCAAAAAAGAAAAGGCCACAACUAGAAACAAGGAAAUUACAAAAUGAAAAAGCUCACCAGUGAAGGCAAACAUACAGCAGAGGUAGGAAAUCACCCACACACAAAGCUAGUAGGGAGGUUAAAAGAUAAAAGUAGUAAAAUCAUCUAUAUCCACAAUAAGCAGUUAAGGGAUACACAAAACAAUUAGAUAAAAUAUGAUAUCAAAAACAGUAAUCAUGAGGGGAGGAGAGUACAAAUGUAGGGUUUUAAAAAUGCAUUUGAAAUUAAGAGGUCAUCAACUUAAAAUAAUCACAUCUAUAUAUAAAGACUGCUAUACAAAAACGUCAUGGUAACUGUAAACCAAAAAUCUAUAAUAGAUAGAUAUACACACAAAAAAGAAAAUCCAAACAUAACACUGAAGAUAGUCAUCAAAUCACAAGAGAACAAAAGAAGAAAGGGGAAAAAACCAAAUCCAAAACAAUUAACAAAACAGCAAUAAGAACAUACAUAUCAACAAUUACCUUAAAUGUAAAUGGACUAAAUGCUCCAACCAAAAGACACAGAGUGGCUAAAUGGAUACAAAAACAAGACCUGUAUAUAUGCUUCCUACAAGAGACUCACUUCAGCUCUAGAGACACAUACAGACUAAAAGUGAGGAGAUGGAAAAAGGUAUUCCAUGCAAAUGGAAAUCAAAAGAAAGUCAGAGUAGCAAUACUUACAUCAGACAAAGUAGACUUUAAAAUAAAGACUGUUACAAGAUACAAAGAAGGGCACUACAUAAUGAUCAAGGGAUCAAUCCAAGAAGAAGAUACAACAAUUGUAAAUAUAUAUGCAUCCAACAUAGGGGCACCUAAAUAUAUAAGACAAAUAUUAACAGACAUGAAAGGAGAAAUCGACAGUAACACAAUAAUUGUAGGGGACUUUAACAUCCUACUUAUAUCAAUGGACAGAUGAUCCAGACAGAAAAUCAGUAAGGAAACACAGGCCUUAAAUGACACAUUAGACCAAAUGAACUUAACUGAUAUAUAAAGAGCAUUCCAUCCAAAAGCAGCGGAAUACACAUUCUUUUCAAGUGCACAUGGAACAUUCUUCUGGAUAGAUCACAUGCUAGGCCACAAAACAAACCUUGGUAAAUUUCAGAAAGUUGAAAUCAUAUCAAGCAUCUUUUCCGACCACAACACUAUGAAACUAGAAAUCAACUACAAGAAAAAACCUGCAAAAAAAAACAUGUGGAGGCUAACCAGUAUGCUACUAAACAACCAAUGGAUCACUGCACAAAUCAAAGAGGAAAUCAAAAAAUACCUAGAGACAAUGAAAACGAAAACAUGACGAUCCAAAACCUAUGGGAUGUAGCAAAAGCAAUGUUAAGAGGGAGGUUUAUAGUGAUACAAACUUACCACAGGAAACAAGAAACAUCUCAAACAACCUAACCUUACAUCUAAAGCAACUAGGGAAAGAAGAACAAGAAAACCCCCAAAGUUAGUAGAAGGAAAGAAAGAAGGAUCAGAGCAGAAAUAGAGACUAAAAAAAAAUAGAAAAGAUCAAUGAAAUUAAAAGCUGGUUCUUUGAAAAGAAACAAAAUUGACAAACCUUUAGCCAGAUUCAUCAAGUAGAAAAGGGAGAGGGCCCAAAUCAAUAAAAUCAGAAAUGAAAAAGAAGUUACAACUGACACCACAGAAAUACAAAUGAUUGUAAACGACUACUAUGAACUACAUGCCGAUAAAAUGGACAACUUAGAAGAAAUGGCCAAAUUAUUAGAAAGAUACAAUCUCCCAAGAUCGAACUAAGAACAAGAAAAUAUGAACAGACCAAUUACCAGUAAUGAAAUUGAAUCAGUAGUUAAAAAACUCCCAACAAACAAAAGUCUAGGACCAGAUGGCUUCACAGGUGAAUUUUUUACCAAACAUUUAGAGAAGAGUUAACACCUAUACUUCUGAAACUAUUCCAAAAAACUGCAGAGGAAGGAACAUUCCCAAAUUCAUUCUAUGAGGCCAGCACCCUCCUGAUACCAAAACCAGACAAAGAUAUCACACACACACACACACACACACACACACACACACACACUACAGGCCAAUAUCACUGAUGAACCUAGAUGCAAAAAUCCUCAACAAAAUACUAGCAAACCGAAUCCAAUAAUACAUUAAAAGGAUCAUACACCAUGAUCAAAUGGGAUUUAUCCCAGGAAUGGAAGGAUUUUUAAUAUCUGCGAAUCAAUGUGAUACACCACACUAACAAAUUGAAGAAGAAAAACUGUAUGAUGACCUCAAUACAUGCAGAAAAGCUUCUGAUAAAAUUCAACAUCCAUUUAUGAUAAAAACUCUCUACGAUACUAUGAUAAAAAGUGGGCAGAGAGGGAACAUACCUCAACAUAAUAAAGGCCAUAUGUGGCAAACCCACAGCUAACAUCACACUCAAUGGUGAAAAGCUGAAAGCAUUUCCUUUAAGAUCAGGAACAAAACAAGGAUGUCCACUCUUGCCACUCUUAUUCAGCAUAGUUUUGGAAGUCCUAGCCACAGCAAUCAGAGAAGAAAAGGAAAUAAAAGGAAUCAAAAUUGGAAAGGAAGAAGUAAAACUGUCACUGUUUGCAGAUGGCAUGAUACUAUACAUAGAAAAUCCUAAAGACGCCACCAGAAAACAACUAGAGCUCAUCAAUGAAUUCAGUAAAGUUGCAGGAUACAAAAUUAAUAUACAGAAAUCUGUUGCAUUUCUAUAAACUAACAACAAAUUAUCAGAAAGAGAAAUUAAGAAAACAAUCCCAUGUACCAUUGCAUCAAAAAGAAUAAAAUAACUAGGAAUAAACCUACCUAAGGAGGCAAAAGACCUGUACUCCAAAAACUAUAAGACACUGAUGAAACAAACUGAAGAUGACACAAAGAGAUGGAAAGAUAUACUGUGUUCUUGGAUUGGAGGAAUAAAUAUUGUUAAAAUGACCAUAAUAUCCAAGGCAAUCUACAGACUCAAUGCACUCUCUAGCAAAAUACCAAUGGCAUUUUUCACAGAACUAGAACAAAUAAUUUAAAAAUUUGUAUGGAAACAUAAAAGACCCUGAAGAGCCAAAACAAUCUUGAGAAAGAAGAAUGGAGCUGGAGGAAUCAUGCUCCCUGACUUCAGACUCUACUACAGUGCUACAGUAAUCAAAACAGUAUGGUACUGGCAUAAAAACAGAACCAUAGAUCAAUGGAACAGGAUAGAAAGCCCAGAAAUAAACCCAUGCACUUAUGGUCAAUUAAUCUACAACAAAGGAGGCAAGAAUAUACAAUGCAGAAAAGACAGUCUCUUCAAUAAGUAGUGCUGGGAAAACUGAACAGCACAUGUAAAAGAAUGAAAUUAGAGCAUUCUCUAACACCAUACACAAAAAUAAACUCAAAAUGGAUUGAAGAUCUAAAUGUAAGACCAGGUACUAUAAAACUCCUGGAGGAAAACAUAGGCAGAACACUCUUUGAUAUAAGUCACAGCAAUAUUUUUUUGGAUCCAUCUCCUAAAGUAAAGGAAAUAAAAGCAAAAAUAAAUAAAUGGGACCUAAUUAAACUUAAAAGCUUUUGCACAACAAAGGAAACCACCGACAAAAUGAAAAGACAACCUACUGAAUGGGAGAAUAUCAUUGCAAAUGAUAUGACUAAUAAGGGAUUAAUAUCCAACAUAUAUAAACAGCUCAUACAACUCAAAUUUUUUAAUUCUGCUGAUUGAAAAAUUCUGCUGAAUAGACAUUUUUCCAAAGAGGAAAUGCAGAUGCCCAAUAAGCAUAUGAAAAGAUUCUCAACAUAGCUAAUCAUCAGGGAAAUGCAAAUCAAAACCACAAGGAGAUAUCACCUCAUACCUGUCAGAAUGGCCAUCAUCAAAAAGAACACAAAUAAUAAAUAUUGGCAAGGAUGUGGAGAAAAGGGAACCCUUGUACACUGUUGGUGGGAAUGUAAAUUGGUGCUGCCACUGUGGAAAACAGUAUGGAGGUUUCUCAAAAAAUUAAAAAUAGAACUACCAUAUGACCCAGCAAUUCUACUCCUGAGUAUAUAUCCAAAAAAAACCCCAAAGCACUAAUUCAAAAAGAUACUUGCACCCCAAUGUUCAUAGCAGCAUUAUUUACAAUUGUCAAGAUAUGAAAGCAACCUAGGUGACCAUCAACAGAUGAAUGGAUAAAGAAAAUGUUGUAUAUAUACACAAUGGAAUACUACUCAGUUAUGAAAAAGAAUGAAAUUUUGCCUUUGGAGCAACAUGGCUGGACUUGGAGGGCAUUGUACUAAAUGAAAUAAGUCAGACAAGACAAAUAUUGUAUGAUAUCACUUACAUAUGGAAUCUAAAAAACACAAUAAACUAGUGAAUAUAACAAAAAAGAAGCAGACAUAUAUAGAGAACAAACUACUGGUUACCAGUGGAGGGGGAGGGGUAAUCAAAGGGUGGGGGAGUGGCAGGUACAAACUAUUGGGUGUAAGAUAGGCUCCAGGAUGUACUGUACAACACAGGGAAUCUAGCCAAUAUUUUAUAAUAACUGUAAAUGGAAAGUAACCUUUAAAAAUUAUAUUAAAAAUUUAAAAAUUUAAAAUAAAUUAAAAAAGAGAAACAAAAGGUUAUAGAAAUCUUGGGGAGAGGAGUUUAUGGUUUCUUAAGGCCCUGGAAAUAGGGGGUUCAAGGAAGUCCACUUGGCGGUCUAAAACCACAAGGACCCAGCUGACCUGGGGCCACACAUACACUCAAUGUAACAUUGUUACUUUCUUCCUUAGAUGGGAAACUUUUGCAGUAGUUGUCUCCAUGAUAGAUUCCAAUCCUUUAGCCUAUAGCCCAGCCUUUUCCUACCUUAUAUCCUAGUGCUGUGCUUCUCCUCCCUUUCUUACCCGUCCGUCUAGGAGGGGUGGUGUUUCCUGCCCAUAGGGAGGGCCUCGCCACUGCAGAUGCACACGGCCGGGCUGAUGACCACACCUGGGGGGCCGGGGAGGGAAGCCACUGCAGCUGCUGCUGCUGAUUUAGAAACGGCCAUGCUUCUCCUGGAAAAGCAGAGGGGCUUUUGCUAUUUAUUGUCAGAACAAGUUAAACCAAGCGGAAGUCAUGAAGCCUGUGUGGACAGCCCUGCAACAGCUGCCGUGCGUUAUUCCACCUAGUGAUCUCCGCUGCUGCUUGGGCCACAGAAAGAUGUCCUUCGGGGAUGCACGUUCACACAUGAAAUCUAACAAACACCAAGGCUGCCUCCCUGUUAGACAUCAUUUUCUUGCUGAUGGAAUCAGAAAGCUUGUUAGUCGCUGAAAUAAACACGCUCUGAUGAGUUAAAUGAAAACUAGCAUA